GACGAACGCUGGCGGCGUGCUUAACACAUGCAAGUCGAACGGUAAGGCCCUUUCGGGGGUACACGAGUGACGAACGGGUGAGUAACACGUGGGUGAUCUGCCCUGCACUUUGGGAUAAGCCUGGGAAACUGGGUCUAAUACCGGAUAGGACUACGCGAUGCAUGUCGUGUGGUGGAAAGCUUUUGCGGUGUGGGAUGGGCCCGCGGCCUAUCAGCUUGUUGGUGGGGUGAUGGCCUACCAAGGCGACGACGGGUAGCCGGCCUGAGAGGGUGUCCGGCCACACUGGGACUGAGAUACGGCCCAGACUCCUACGGGAGGCAGCAGUGGGGAAUAUUGCACAAUGGGCGCAAGCCUGAUGCAGCGACGCCGCGUGGGGGAUGACGGCCUUCGGGUUGUAAACCCCUUUCAGCACAGACGAAGCGUAAGUGACGGUAUGUGCAGAAGAAGCACCGGCCAACUACGUG
rnacentral:rRNA from 1 species